rnacentral:lncRNA from 1 species
CCUUCCGUUUACUGCCGGAGUUGCAGCUUUGGCAGCCUCGUCGCCGCCCAGUGGGGUGACCUCCCCUUCCGCCUCGACGACUCCGACGACAUGGUCGUCUAUGGCGCCCUCCGGGACGCCUACUCCCACGGCUGGAACCCCUCCCCCGAAGCCGGUCCCGUCACCGCCUCCGCCGUUGUCGUCAAAUCGGAGCCCGUUACCGAGCUGCCUCCACCGACGCCGGCGCUAGCGAUUCAGGUGCCUCCGGCACAGCCCGCGCCAGAGGCACCGGCAGCGCCGGCGGCGCCGGCGAAGGGGAAGCACUACAGAGGGGUGCGGCAGCGGCCGUGGGGGAAGUUCGCGGCGGAGAUCCGAGAUCCGGCGAAGAACGGGGCGAGGGUUUGGCUGGGGACGUUCGAAACGGCGGAGGAGGCCGCCAUCGCCUACGACAAAGCUGCCUAUCGGAUGCGCGGCUCCCGCGCGCUCCUCAACUUCCCGCUCCGGAUCAGCUCGGAGGCGGCCGCGGCACCGGCGGUGGUGUCUCCGUCGAAGCGGGCCUCGCCGGAGCCCUCUUCCACCUCCUCCGCCUCUUCCUCUCCCCGCUCCCCCUCGUCGUCGUCGUCUUCCUCGUCGGCGAAGGCGUCGCCGAAGAGGAGGAAGAAAGGGGAGGCCGCGGCGGCGGCGAUGGCGAUGGCGAUGGCGAUGCCUCCGGUAGCGGCGGCCCCCAUGCCUCUCUCUUCUUCUCCGGUUCCGGUUCAAGCGCAGGCCGGUCUGGGUUUCGGGAACCGGACGGAGAGUUUCUCGGUUGGGCCUGUCGUCCAAUUUAC